GGGCGCUUGGUUUAGUGGUAUAAUUCUCGCUUAGCACGUGAGCGGUCCUGGAUUCGAUUCUCAGAGUGUCCA
rnacentral:tRNA from 1 species